GACGAACGCUGGCGGCGUGCCUCAUACAUGCAAGUCGAACGCAGUGGGGACGGGUGAGUAACCCGUUGGUAACCUCCCAUCAGAGGGGAUAACACUUGGAAACAGGUGCUAAACCGAUACUGAUGGAUGGCCCCGCGGUGCAUUCGCUAGUUGGUGAGGUAACGGCUCACCAGGGCCACGAUGCAUAGCCGACCUGUGAGGGUGAUCAGCCAAACUGGGAUUGAGAAACGGCUCAGACUCAUACGGGAGGCAGCAGGAGGGAAUCUUCGGGAAUGGACGAAAGUCUGACCGAGCAAAGCCGCGUGAGUGAAGAAGGGUUUCGGAUCGGAAAACUCUGUUGUGAGAGAAGCGGUAUCUAACGAGAAAGACACGGCUAACUACGUGCCAGCAGCCGCGGUAAUUC
rnacentral:rRNA from 1 species